CUUGGGGACAGUGGCUAUCCCUGCAAGCAGUGGUUGCUCACUCCCUAUUUAAAUCCAGCCAAUGCCCAACAGGUGAACUACAACAGAGCUCACAAAAUAACAAGAUCAAAAGUCGAAAGAGGAAUAGGCCAACUGAAAAGAAGAUGGGGAGUGCUGCAUGGCGAAAUUCGUUUGAAACCUGAAAAGGCUUGCCAGGUUAUCAUGGCAUGUGGAGUGUUGCAUAACAUAUGCAAAGACAUGAACAUUCCAAUGAUUGGGGAUGAUAUACCAGACAACAUGCAUCAGGAAGUACCUUACCAUGGCAUACAGAAUGGGCUUCGAUAUAGGGAUUUUGUAUCGCAAACAUAUUUUAACUAAGUCAUGGACAUAGACAAAACAAGUCUUAAAAAUGUGUGUUCAUUUACAUUUGAUAAAGACAAAACAAGUCUAUAAAAUGUGUGUUCAUUUACUUCCGAUAAAGACAAAACAAGUCUUAAAAAUGUGUGUCCAUUUACAUCUGAUAAAGACAAAACAAGUCUUAAAAAUGUGUGUCCAUUUACAUCUGAUAAAGACAAAACAAGUCUUAAAAAUGUGUGUACAUUUACACCUGAUAAAGACAAAACAAGUCUUUAAAAUGUGUGUUAAUUUAAAGUGCUGUGCCUCCGAACACAAAUGACACACGGAUUUUUAAACUUUAAAUGGGAGGAGAAGCUGAUAUUAGCCGAACCUAGCGACAAUGAGUCAGGUGGCGUCCGAUGAUACCCCUGCCACAGAGCAGCUAAUACGAGUUAUAUCUCGGGGGACUAGGUGCCUGAGCUACUUUCAGCGAUACAGGGAUAUUG